UUGUUUCUGAGGGAGAGGAGGAGGAUAAUAGCACAGAGAACUCCAGAGAGAUUGGGAGGAUUCCAGGAGAUAAGAUGCUUAGAACAGUGCCCCGCAUGGAAUAAGCUCUCAAAAAGGUUAGCUUUAUUCUCAGAGAGAACAAUCGGCAAAAGGUGACGGGGUGAAAUGAACCAGCAGUGACGG